rnacentral:rRNA from 1 species
UAAGGGCGCACGGUGGAUGCCUUGGCACUAGAAGCCGAUGAAGGACGUUACUAACGACGAUAUGCUUUGGGGAGCUGUAAGUAAGCUUUGAUCCAGAGAUUUCCGAAUGGGGAAACCCAGCAUGAGUUAUGUCAUGUUAUCGAUAUGUGAAUACAUAGCAUAUCAGAAGGCACACCCGGAGAACUGAAACAUCUUAGUACCCGGAGGAAGAGAAAGAAAAUUCGAUUCCCUUAGUAGCGGCGAGCGAAACGGGAAGAGCCCAAACCAACAAGCUUGCUUGUUGGGGUUGUAGGACACUCUAUACGGAGUUAC